UACGAAGGGGGCUAGCGUUGUUCGGAAUUACUGGGCGUAAAGCGCGCGCAGGCGGUCUUCCAAGUCAGGGGUGAAAUCCUGGAGCUCAACUCCAGAACUGCCUUUGAUACUGAAGAUCUUGAGUUCGGGAGAGGUGAGUGGAACUGCGAGUGUAGAGGUGAAAUUCGUAGAUAUUCGCAAGAACACCAGUGGCGAAGGCGGCUCACUGGCCCGAUACUGACGCUGAGGCACGAAAGCGUGGGGAGCAAACAGG
rnacentral:rRNA from 1 species